UCCUGCCGGAAGCGACCGCUAUUGGAAUUCGAUUAAGCCAUGCGAGUCGAGAGUCUUAGGGACUCGGCGUACCGCUCAGUAACACGUGGGUAACCUGCCCUGUGCUGGGGAAUAACCUCGGGAAACUGAGAAUAAUACCCCAUAGUUCACUACGCCUGGAACGGUGGGUGGAUCAAAGCUCCGGCGGCACAGGAUGGGCCUGCGGCGUAUCAGGUUGUAGGGGGUGUAACGUACCCUCUAGCCUUCAACGCGUACGGGUUGUGGGAGCAAUCGCCCGGAGAUGGAUUCUGAGACACGAAUCCAGACCCUACGGGGUGCAGCAGGCGCGAAAACUUCACACUGCAGGAAACUGUGAUGAGGGAAUUCCAAGUGGCUAGACAAAGUCUAGUCUUUUUGUAACUUUUAAUCGGUUACAGAAUAAGGGGUGGGAAAGACCGGUGCCAGCCGCCGCGGUAAUACCGGCACCUCAAGUGGUCGUCGCUUUUAUUGGGCCUAAAACGUCCGUCGCCUGUUUGGUACAUUCGUGGGUAAAUCAACCAGCUUAACUGGUUGAAUUCUGCGAGGACGGCCAGACUAGGGACCGGGAGAGGUAUGGGGUACUCUCAGGGUAGGGGUAAAAUCCUGUCAUCCUGAGGGGACCACCUGUUGCGAAGG
rnacentral:rRNA from 1 species